GGGGGCAUAGUAGCCUGAACGCACAGCAUCGGGUAAGAAAUCCGAAGCUAAGAAGGGUCAGGCCUGGUGACUACUUGGAUGGGAGACCACCUGGGAUUGUGUACUUUUAAAAGCCUCCC
rnacentral:rRNA from 1 species